CAGAGUCACGUGGCUGGGUGAAUGAAGAGGAGAAAAUGGCAGUACACACAGCAGAAGGGUGUAGGAAGAGACUAGUCUGCUGAAUAAAAACACGGGAAGAAGCUGAGGUUCAGAGAGGGUGAAUACUUUGUCCAAGGUCAAAUGGCUGCUAAGAGGCAAGCUGCAGGUCGGAACCCUGGGAAGCUUGACUCAGAAGCUCCUACCCACUCUAUCUAUCAUUCUGCUUAAUGGGCAGUGAACCUAGAAUUAUCCAAACUAAAGUCCCCUGAACUAACCAAAGUAUGUCAAGCAGAUCAAUACUCGGAUUUUUAAAGCCUGACUGCUUGAUUCCUUUAAGGCACUAACUUGCAAAUCCAUGUUAAAGAUUCUGUAUCUCAAUGUUGCCAGAGGCUCUUGGAACCAUUUUAUGUGACUUGUAUAUCUGUUAAUGUGACUCCUGUUAAGAAUCAAUGGUUCUGCCCAUUACAAAUUCCUAUUCUUUGAGGUUUAUGACUAUGCUGUAAAAUUCUGCUCUGAGGUGAAGUUUUCCACAUAAAAAUUAAGCCCUGGAAUUUGGCCUUUAGAAAACAAAACAGUUCAUUUUAAGUAAGUUUGCUACACUUAAAGUCAUGAAUGAGGAUUUUAAAAUAACGCUGACUCCUGUAGACUCAAAACAUAG